ensembl:snRNA U2 U2 spliceosomal RNA
AUAGACUUCUCAACUUUUCAGUUAAGAUAAAAUAUAGUAUUUGUUCUUAUUAGUUUCAUAUAUGAUACAGCCACUAUCUAGGAGCAAUACAUCAAAUGAAUUUUGGGAUCAAGGAGAUGAAAUGGGAGCUUGCUCCACAUAUUCCAUGCAUCAACAUAGUAGUCUAAUAACUCCAGGGAUGGCACAAUGAUU